AAAAAAAAAUGUAAAAAGAAAAAAAUAAACAGUAGUAACUUCUCCAGGAAAACAAAUAAAUAAAAUAAAUAUCUAAAAAGAUAAAGAAGAAUACUUGAAUAAAUCAAAUAGUUAAGUAAAUUCAAUAGUGCAUUAAGUUGAGCGAUCACUCGCAUGGCAUGUAAAUCCAUCUGUACCUAAUACCACCAACUACCCACUUCCUAUUUCCACAAAGGACUCUGGCGUUCCUUAAGGAACCCACACAGUUAAGCGUUAGAUCUACUCAAGUGUCGGCAUGCAACACCUUUCCAUCCGCCAGCACCCUGAUGCAAAAUCUGGAAGAAGUUAAUUUUCUUAUAAAGUAACCGCAGCAUUAUCCAACUAAUCUCAACUGAUGAGUUCACAAAGCCUGGUUGCAAAGUGCCCCUCGAACUUUCUACCCUGCCCAAAUCCGUAGAUUCCUAACUUGGCACAGCGCUCAGGAACUACCUUCUGCACAGCCCUGCAGUGAACAACUGCAUUCAGUAAAUAUUUGCAUCCGUGGCACUACAGAUGCUAAUGACCGUGUUGAACGUACACAUGUAAACACACACCCUCACCGUGUAACAGUCUGACAAUAAAUGGCAAAAACAGACACAGCAGCCUCCCAGGUAAGGCAGAUAGCCACCACCGGCGCGUUACGCCCGGACAAGGUCUCUCUCUCUCUUUCUUUUUCUUUCUGUUUCUCUAGAUUUUGAACGCGCGUUGUGUGUGUGUGUGUGUGAGUGAGUGUGAGUGUGAGCGCGCGCGCGUGUGCAGGUUACCGGAGAGGGAGAUCCGUUCUUGCGGAGGGGCCCUCGGAAGACUCCUUUGAUGCCCCGGUAGUGCCCAUUGCUGAGAUGUCUCGAACUGAUGACCAGGUAACAAGCCAUGUGGGUCCGAGCGGGGCGCGCUGCGUGUCCCUCCUGGCCGGCCCCGGCCGCGGGAGCGCGGGAGCGCGGGCCGCUUUCUCAGCAGCGACGGUGACUGCCACCUCCCGAGGAGCAGCGGCCGGCAGCGAGCAGGGGACGCGGCGGCCGCGCGCCCCCGCUCCUCGCCCCGCGCGGGGCUCCGGCUGCCGGCGGCGGAGGGGGCGGCGGCGGCCACGCGGCUCUUCGGGCACCCGGCGAGCCAGUCCACAUGCUGCUCUGGCGACGUGGCUGCUCAGCCGCGGGCCGGCGGUGCCAUUGGUCUCAGGACAACUUCCUGGGUCCGCGGGGGAAGCCGGAGCUCCCCGCCCCGUCGCUGCCCCGCCCCGCCGUCGCCCCCGGCGCGCCCCCGGGGGGCUCGGGCUCGGGCUCGGGCUGCGGGCUGCGGGCUGCGCGGGAGGUGGCGGCGGCCGGGGGCAGCGGCGCGAGCCGGGGGCGCGGCCACCUGUGAGCCCGAGCGGUUCGCGCCCCCGCGCCGGGCGGCCGCGCGCGGCGGGGGCGGGGGCGGGGGCGGCGGAGGCGGCGGCGGGACGCGCGGCGCGGGCAUCCCGGGCCCCCCGCCCCAGCGCCCCCCGCCCCAGCGCCCCGCCCGCUCGCCCGCCGCGCCCGAGGGCCGGCUUAGCCGCGAGCGUGGGGGCGGGGGGGGGGCCGGGGCGACUGCGGAGGGCGGCGGUGGGCGACACGGCGGGGAGAGCGGCGCCUCCACCCGGCGCUGCCCGCCCGCCUGCAGCGCGCUCCGGCGCCCGGGCUGCCCGCGGCGGGGUCGGCAGGAGCGACAGCCCCCGGGCCGGCGGCGCGGACGAGCUGCGCAGCCCCGGUGAGGCGGGCGAUGGACGCAGGAGGACAGAAGUUCUAGAGGCCGAGAUUUGGGAUUUGCGUGGGACGUCCGAGCGCCCACGGCCCUCCCCGUCAGCCCUCGGUGGGGCUUCUUAA
rnacentral:lncRNA from 1 species